CACGUAGGGCGCAAGCGUUGUCCGGAAUUAUUGGGGCGUAAAGAGCUCGUAGGCGGUCUGUUACGUCUGCUGUGAAAACCCUGGGCUUAACCCUGGGCUUGCAGUGGAUACGGGGCAGACUAGAGGCAGGUAGGGGGAGAAUGGAAAUUCCCGGUGUAGCGGUGAAAAUGCGCAGAUAUCGGGAGGAACACCGGUGGCGAAGGCGGUUCUCUGGGGCCCUGACCUGACGCUGAGGAGCGAAAAC
rnacentral:rRNA from 1 species